AACAAAUUUCUGUAGUUUUCACAGCAUUAUUACUGUAAAAUGAGCAAAUGCUUACUGUAGAACUUGUAUACAGCAAGUUGCUGUAGAUCUGCAAAGCAUCAUGGUCUUUUUUCAACGGCGGGUAAAUUCUACAGUAAAAAUAUUUUUUCUGUGAAUCACAAUACAGCAAUUUCUAGAGGAUUUUUUUCUUCAGCCAAGGAAAGCUACGAGAUUCCACACUUUCAUCUGAAUUUUUACUUCAGAAAGACUGCAGACAAGAGCCAUCGACCAUCGUUCCAGUGCACAGAAACCAUGCAACAGGAAGAAGCUGUUUUUCUCUUGGUUGAUGAAACUUCCACCUAAACAGAUGCUGAGGCCCAGAUUUCCCUGCCAAGCACUCCAAGGCUCAUCAUGCUCGGAGAGUCCAUUCUGGGGGCACAAAAUGGAUGCUUUCCAUCGAGGGCAGAAUUGAGUGACCGCUGUGAUUUCACUUCUGCUCUAGCCAUGUAUGAUGCAGCCACUACAGUGGAAUUUAUCCAGAGGGUAGAGUCCAGCCCAGGAAGUCAACUAGUUCGGGUCCAGUUUUAAAAGAAUAAUAGUUCUGAAAAAAAAACGUCUUGGAGAAAAACAAUAUUCAGGUUUGAAAUCCUGCUGUAAAUGUAAAUCAUUUAAUUUUUAUGCAUUUGUAAUUUACCAGAAACAUUUUAAUAAAUAUUGAUUGUUUUGUGUGUUCAGAAAAGUGUUUUUGUAUGAAGUGUUGAAAUUAAAUGAAAUAUUCACAGAAAAAUUUUAACAUAUUAAAAAAAAUGUAUGUGUUCAGAAAAGUUUUGAGAUGUUCACAGAAAAAAUGUAACAUGUUGAAAAAAAUGUAUGCUAUGCUAUUUUUAAUUUAUGAAUUUUUGUAAUUUAAA